rnacentral:rRNA from 1 species
GACGAACGCUGGCGGCGUGCUUAACACAUGCAAGUCGAACGGAAAGGCCCUGCUUGCAGGGUACUCGAGUGGCGAACGGGUGAGUAACACGUGGGUGAUCUGCCCUGCACUUCGGGAUAAGCUUGGGAAACUGGGUCUAAUACCGGAUAGGAGCCAUCUUUAGUGUGGUGGUUGGAAAGUUUUUUCUGUGUAGGAUGAGCUCGCGGCCUAUCAGCUUGUUGGUGGGGUAAUGGCCUACCAAGGCGGCGACGGGUAGCCGGCCUGAGAGGGUGUACGGCCACAUUGGGACUGAGAUACGGCCCAGACUCCUACGGGGGGCAGCAGUGGGGAAUAUUGCACAAUGGGCGCAAGCCUGAUGCAGCGACGCCGCGUGGGGGAUGAAGGCCUUCGGGUUGUAAACUCCUUUCGCUAGGGACGAAGCUUUGUUGUGACGGUACCUAGAUAAGAAGCACCGGCUAACUACGUG